CAGGCUGGGGGUGAAGUUGUUAUUAUUAUUUGGUCAGUCUAUUGUUGAGAACAUCAAAGAAUUAAACAACAUGAACAUCUCAGCUUCUUGCUGACACUCAGAUGGGCAAGCUUUGGUGAUAAACUGGCCCAGACAAAAUAGAUGGGAAUGACUUUUGGAGAGCAUUUUCUUUGAAUUUGAACAAUUUGGUUAUUUUUCUUUGAAUUUGAACAACCACACCAAUAACAGAAAGUGGUUUCUUUGCUUCCCUUUCCUUCGUGCCUCCCCUUUAAAGUGUCUCUUCUCCACCAUUUUUUAUCCUGACAUAUAGGUGGGAAUGAAAUACCAUCCUGGGGACCCUCUCCUUGUCCUUUAAAUACCUCAGAGUCAAAACUGAUGAUUUCCUUGAGUCAGAGCUGGAAGAUCUGGGGAACAUGGAAUAUGAAAACACACAGCAUCAUGAAAAACCUGCUUAUUUUACACCUAGAAUUUGCUGCAGAAUCCAGUUUGCCAGUCCCUCUUGCAUACGCUUCUUGUAAAAACUCUUUGUAUGUUUGUUAUUACUAUUAAAACUCAUAGUUUUA